CCCCAGACUCCUACGGGAGGCAGCAGUGAGGAAUAUUGGUCAAUGGCCGGAAGGCUGAACCAGCCAAGCCGCGUGAGGGAGGAAGGCGCAGAGCGUCGCAGACCUCUUUUGCCGGGGGACAAAAGGCCGGACUCGUCCGGUCCUGAGGGUACCCGGAGAAAAAGCAUCGGCUAACUCCGUGCCAGCAGCCGCGGUAAUACGGAGGAUGCGAGCGUUAUCCGGAUUCAUUGGGUUUAAAGGGUGCGCAGGCGGGCCUUUAAGCCGGGGGUGAAAUCGCGGGGCUCAACCUCGCUCCGCCGUUGAAACUGGCGUUCUUGAGUGGGCGAGAAGUAUGCGGAAUGCGUGGUGUAGCGGUGAAAUGCAUAGAUAUCACGCAGAACUCCGAUUGCGAAGGCAGCAUACCGGCGCCCAACUGACGCUGAAGCACGAAAGCGUGGGUAUCGAACAGGAUUAGAUACCCUUGUAA
rnacentral:rRNA from 1 species